rnacentral:pre_miRNA from 1 species
UUCUUAUUGGAUGAUAACUACCACGUGUUGGUCAAUGAAAGCAAUAAUGUAUUUCAUCUUUCAUGGAGUUGACAUCCAAUGAACAAGACACGUGACAGUUAUAAUUC